GACAUAGCCAUACAGUAUGGUGUCCUUCAACAAUGUUCAACCAUGGAAUAAGUCACAUGUGGCUGAGACAAACAAAUGAUGCUUUUGCAUUUUGAAUGUUUAAAUUUUUAUAAUUGUAUUUCAUACAAGCUUCUGGCCUGCGUCAGCCAAUAGGGUCCAGCAAUCGCACGGUUCGCUUUGACUGUGUAGUAUAACCUACAUCUUUCCUAACUGAAAAUGUGCUGGAACAAAUUUUUGUGUGGAGGUGAAGCUUCAAUUUGGGACGUGAUUUGUCUACUGUUGGUUGAGAUGGCAAAAAAGCAUGGAUUGGAUCAACAUUUUAUUCCGCAUUCAUCUUUGGAAUCCUGGUGUGCUCAUAGUUGUAGCGGAACAUUCUCAUCUGUUCAGGUCACAAAUAACGUACGAGAAAUCUAUCAUCCACAUGAAACGUGGAGCCUAUUCUGGCUCACCGAUUUGUUCUCUGUGCGUUCGAAAUUGUCACCCUUCCAGAGAUUAUUGUCCGCGUCCGAGAAAGUUGUACGACGAUGGUACCUGAAUCACUUGCUUAACUGACGAGCCAAAAAUUACGAGCCAAUGACCAACCCAGUGGAAUCCUGGAUACUUAAUCAUACGUGGUCAACACAGUUUCAAGUAGUCAGCCCACCCUGAUGGUAAAUUGGUGAAAUGAAACCAAACAUGACCUAUUCCUUUAG